AAAACGAAUCAAAGCGAGGGGAAAAAGGGCAAGAUGCGCAAUUUUUUUAUAUUUUUAAGUUUAAACAGACGAAGAGAUCGGUGACCCUAUAACGUUAGCGGUUGAACCAUACGAAGGAGAACGAGCAAAAAAAAAAGUGAUUCUGUUUUUCCUUUCCUAUUUCGGCAUUGACUUCCUACUUUUUUCCCCGUUUGCUAGACAGAGCAAUGGCAGAUUAAUGCCGUGGAAAAAGCAAUUUAGAUCUACACGAUCAGGUAAAACACACACACACACACACAGGCAACAUCCCCCCCUGCCCAAAAAAAAAACCAAAAAAUAAAGGUAAUCCCAAAAUACAAAUACACAGCCAGAGCGAGAGACGGAGAAAGAAAGAAAAAGAAAAGCCACGAGAGCGGAAAAAGCGCCAGCUGGAUGGGUUCUAAUGCGUGAAAGUAUAAGGCAAAAAAGUAGAACGAGGAAAACAAAAACAAAAAAAAAAAAGAAAAAAAGGGUUGUUACUAAGGCAGGAAAGACUAACGAGUCUUUUUCGGAUAUGGCAGCGUCCGUCUUGAAAUCUUUGCAGUCUACCAGCAGUCGAGAAUAAGUUGUGCGUUGGCAAAGGAAAAGGUUGUUGGAGCGCGUUGUUUGCGUUCAAAUUCGAAGCCUCUCGUGCCUUGCCAUCAGCAAAAAGGCACGAACAGCAGGGCGUCAUCUCCCUUCUACUUUGGUUGUUGGCCGGCGUAUUACAUCAAGUAGAUACGGCUCUAGAAGGGCGUGGUGUUUCUCUUUCCCAUUCGAAUUUCGACUGAAACUUUCAAUUCUAUUUGGCACCUGUCACGUUGAACUCGGAGGCAGAUAUCCAAUGACUCGUAUCUACAGAAUUACGGCGACGACGCUAGGGUAUCGAUAUCCAUCUAGAGCGUGAUGGACUAGACUCUCUUCGGGACUAGACGAUGAUGGAGGAUGCAUCUUAUUAUUGUUUCAAGAGCCACCUAAAAGCAUAAUAGAGUCGCCCUUGAUGAUGAAGGAAAAGCAGAUGGAAAUUGCCUGUCAGUUUGUUUUAGAGCCAUGUUUGGGCUGCACGAUAUGUACACACGCAAGGCAAACGGACCAAUCAGCUUCUCGGUUCGGCUUUUAUCCAAAAUCAAAUAUUUAAUUUCCCUC